GCUCUCAAUUUAACUUAAAGAAAAAAUGACAAUAUAUAUAUACUCAAAUGAUCAAGCUAUCUACGUUGCGAAAAUAAUUUUAACUAUGCAAAACGCAUUUUUGUUUCGAAACCGGGGAACCAGCGCACGGUAACGAGAGUAUGUUUACAAACGUCCCGGCGCCAUGUUGUAACGGUUCACCAUGCAUUUUUUUCCUUGCGUUCUAAGUUUUGAUGACGCCUUUCCCCGCUGUUAUCUUCGUCGUCGCACCUACAGCCCUCAGAGAUCGCAGUUCGGACGGCAGCGAUGCUGAAGAUCCCGAAUUUGUCUUCAGAGUGAGUCUCACAUUGCCUGUGAAGACAAGACGGCCUCAGACGACGACGAGAGUGACCAUGAGAACGUGCUUCUGAAGACUUCAGAUAAAGUAGGUCGACUCUUUUCACAAGAGGUAGAAAAAGUUUGCGGGGAAACGCAUAGGAAUACUGCCACUGAAUGUCAAUAUGGUAGUGUUUAUAAUAUUCCUUUGGCAUCUGGGUUUUCAUACAUAGUUUAAACUGGAUGUUAUGUUAAUGAGCAAAUCAUGGAGCACAAAAGGUGUGUUCUCCUGUAAUCCCCAAAUUCAGAAACUGUAGUACAUUUACAAGUUUGCAACAGUUGUCAUCCGAAUUGGAUGGCCACCAUGGUGAUAAGCCAAGCGAGAUCAGUUCAAACACGUGGUAGAAGAAACUCUUAGUAUUGGUUCUGCUGGAAAUUGUGUAAGUGUCUCGUCGAUGGUGAUUCACAAGCAAGCACAAACUUUUUGACCAAUGCAAUUUUUUUUUUUUUUUUUUGUCAGUUGCUUGACCUUGGCACAUAUGGAAGCGUCGAGUGCAUUUCUUUUGUUUGCUCUUGCUGACAGUCUGGGUGUGUGACUUGGUGUGAGGGUUCUUGGCGUUGACUGUGGUGUACCGUUAUAAAAGGGUGUGGUUUUAGAAUAAACCUUCAGCUGUGUUCGA